rnacentral:misc_RNA from 1 species
GGUUGAAGCUCAAUUCAAUUUUCCAGAACCAAAAAGAGCAAAAAGAUGAACGAAAAGCAGCAAUCACUUCUCCUCGAAUCCGCCGCUCGUUUUCCUCCUCCCAAAGGGGUGAAGCUAUCGUACGGGACAGCUGGGUUUCGAGCUGAUGCAUCGUUGUUGGAAUCAACGGUGUUCAGAGUGGGGAUAUUGGCGGCGUUAAGGUCGUUAAAGACUGGAUCAGUUAUAGGUUUGAUGAUCACUGCAUCCCACAAUCAAAUAUCAGACAAUGGAGUCAAAGUGGCUGAUCCAAGUGGUGGAAUGUUGACUCAGGAUUGGGAGCCUUUUGCUGAUGCCAUUGCUAAUGCCCCUGAUCCCCGUUCCCUCCUUCAGCUAAUAACUGAAUUUGCAAAGGAAGAAGAUAUUGGCUUUGAAGGAAGACAACCACCGGAGGUGUUAUUAGGAAGAGACACAAGGCCUAGUGGAGAGCCUCUUCUUGACGCUGCCAAACAAGGAAUAACUUCAAUUGUUGGAGCAAUUGGAACUGACAUGGGAGUAGUUACAACACCACAACUGCAUUGGAUGGUUCGAGCAAGAAAUAGAGGCCUGGAGGCAUCUGAAUCUAGUUAUUUUCAUCAACUUUCAAGCUCUUUCAGGUGUUUGAUGGAUUUGAAGCCUGAGGGAAUCAGGAAAAAUGGUGAUGAUAAUGCAUUGGUGGUGGACGGGGCAGAUGGUGUUGGUGGUGAAAAGCUUGAACAUUUCAAGAAGAUGUUGACUGGGUUGUGCAUUGAAGUUCGUAACCGGGGAGAAGGUAUGCUUAAUGAAGGUGUUGGUGCUGACUAUGUGCAAAAAGAGAAGGUUGCUCCACGUGGAUUUGGUCCUGCUGAUGCUGGCUUAAGGUGUGCCAGUUUGGACGGGGAUGCUGAUCGACUAGUCUAUUUUUCAGUUAUAUUGAAUGAAAGUAACAAGAUUGAACUCGUUGAUGGAGACAAGAUAUUGUCUUUGUAUGCCUUAUUUAUCAAGGAGCAAUUAAGUAUUUUGAACGAUGGUGAAAGCAACAAAAAUAAUGACUCUUACCAAGCACAUUUAGGUGUUGUACAGACAGCUUAUGCGAAUGGAGCAUCAACUGAUUACCUUAAAGAGAUGGGUCUAGAAGUUGUGCUUACUCCAACAGGAGUCAAAUACUUGCAUGAACAAGCUGCUGAAUUUGAUAUUGGCAUAUAUUUUGAGGCGAAUGGGCAUGGAACUAUCUUGUUUUCAGAAGCUUAUCUAUGCCGGCUGGAGUCUACUCACAAGACACUUUUAUCAACAUCAGAAGGUUCAGCAAAACAGAAGGCUGCUUCAAGACUUUUGGCUGUCAGUCAGUUGAUUAAUCAGGCCGUGGGAGAUGCUUUAAGUGGACUUCUUCUAGUGGAGGUUAUCUUGCAAUACAUGGGAUGGUCCAUAUGUAGAUGGAAUGAGCUUUAUCAUGAUCUACCUAGCAGACAAUUAAAGGUCAUUCUUCUACCUUUGCAUUCGAGUUACAAGAAUUCAAAUCCAUCAUUAGGGACUUCAAUUACUGUUUU